GUGAGGAAUAUUGCGCAAUGGACGAAAGUCUGACGCAGCAACGCCGCGUGCGGGAUGAAGGCCCUUUGGGUCGUAAACCGCUGUAGCAGGGAAAAAAUAUCCCGUUUGACGGGAUUGAUGGUACCCUGAAAGUAAGCCUCGGCUAACUACGUGCCAGCAGCCGCGGUAAUACGUAGGAGGCAAGCGUUGUCCGGAUUUACUGGGUGUAAAGGGUCCGCAGGCGGGCGUUUAAGUCGGUGGUGAAAGCCUACAGCUUAACUGUAGAAUUGCCUCCGAUACUGGACGUCUUGAAUAUGGUAGAGGGCAACGGAAUUCCAGGUGUAGCGGUGAAAUGCUUAGAUAUCUGGAAGAACACCGGUUGCGAAGGCUGUUGCCUGGGCCAUUAUUGACGCUCAUGGACGAAAGCGUGGGGAUCAAACAGGAUUAGAUACCCCAGUAGUCC
rnacentral:rRNA from 1 species